CAGAGGGUGCGAGCGUUAAUCGGAAUUACUGGGCGUAAAGCGCACGUAGGCGGCUUUGCAAGUCGGAUGUGAAAUCCCCGGGCUUAACCUGGGAACUGCAUUCGAGACUGCAUUGCUCGAGUAUGGGAGAGGGAGGCGGAAUUUCCGGUGUAGCGGUGAAAUGCGUAGAUAUCGGAAGGAACAUCAGUGGCGAAAGCGGCCUCCUGGACCAAUACUGACGCUCAUGUGCGAAAGCGUGGGGAGCAAACAGGAUUAGAUACCCUGGUAGUCCACGCCAUAAACGAUGAGAACUAGAUGUCGGGAGGGUUAGCCUCUCGGUGUCGCAGCUAACGCGUUAAGUUCUCCGCCUGGGGAGUACGGCCGCAAGGUUG
rnacentral:rRNA from 1 species